AUGAGAUUACCUUUCACUCAACAAUUAUUCUGUUCCACAAAAUCUGGAACAAAUCAAUUUCUACCUUCCCAUGAUCUCAUGAAAUCAGUUUAUACCUAUACAUAUCUCUCCAUGACUCCACGUUUCAUCAGAUUCUAUUGAUUCCAACAAAAAUCGAGAAUCAGAAACUAGAUAAAAGAGAGAUAGUGCGAGAUUUGAGAAGAGGAAAGUGAAAGGAAGUUGGUUUCUCUGAAUUUGGGAACGUGAGAUAGGAGAGAACGUGAGAUAGGAGAUGGCAGCGGCAUCGAUUUGUCACGGAGAAACAGCGAACAGCAGUAGCACGACAGGCUGUCCCGGCGGAGCAGCAACGUCCGUUCAGCAGCGGCGAUCUCAGCGGCUGCAGCGGGGUGGCAACGAUCAAGCAGCGGUGGCGGUGAUUCAGAGAUCAGCAGCGACGGAGAGGGCAGAGAAUAAAAGCAAUCAAAGGCAGAUUUUUCACCACACAAGGAGACGACAGUGCUGCCUGUGCGUGUCCGGCAACAACAGCGAUGAAAACAACCCCGAACAGCAGUUAAGCGGUGCCGGAGAUGAUUACGCGAAGAGAAGAGAUGGAAGGGCGUGGCUUCUAGUUUUGUUUAGAGAAGAGAUGUUGAACUUUAGAAUUUGGGGCUGGUUUUGGUGGGGUGAAAUGAGAGAAAGAGGAGAGUUAGCGAAGCCGGCGACAAUGGAGGGCAGCGUAACGGUGGAGACGACACCUCGGAGUAGGUUGAGUACCUGGGUGUGUUGACAGCAGGCCGGAAACUAUGGCGGCUGGAGCAGCGGCGUGAUUGGAUACCGGCGAUGGCGGUGAAGCCGCCGAGGCAGCUCUGCAGCGAGAAUGGUGGCAGAGAUGAGAAACAGAAUUGGUGGCAUUAGAAGCGUGGUGGAAAACAACGGAACCUUGGGUGCACAAUUUGUCGCAGCAGCUCUGACGGAGUGAAAUAGUGUGAUAUGAACUUGGGGAAGAAAGAGAGGGGGGAGAUGACUGCGAUGGAGGGACGGUGGAUUCAGCAGAAGAGCAGCGGCGGUGGGUAUAUGAAAUUGGGAUCCUACGAUUUUACGCAAGAAAGUGAAGAGAGAAGAGAGGGUUUUGAGUUUCUGGUUUUGGAAUUUCAAAUGGGUGACUCCUGUUUUGGCAUUUACUUUUGAGGUUGAGGGAGAAGUGAAAUAGCAGUAAGGGUGAGAAGUGGUAAUUGAGAAUCGAGAGAGACAGCAGAUGCCUUGAUCGAGCGUUCAUUUCCUCUAGGAAUGAGAUUAAUUCAAUGGAUUGCUGAAGCAUCUAAAUCAUUGUUGAGCACAUGAAAUUGGAACGAGGUGAAUUUUGUGCACGUCUUUUGAGGUCGGAUCAUAAAGUUGAUUGAGGAGAUAAACAAAUGAGGUUGAGCUGUGACGAGCGCGGUGGGUGUUGAGCAUAAAAGUGAAGAAUGUCU